AUGCCUGGCCUGCUGAACCGCAUCACAGGGGCGGCCCUGCCCCUCACCGCAUCUGAUGUCACCUCCUUUGUCAGCGGGUACGCCCUGGGCCUGACUGCCUCCCUCACCUAUGGCAAUCUGGAGGCUCAGCCCUUCCAGGGCCUCUUCGUGUAUCCACUGGAUGAGUACACUACGGUGAUCGGCUUUGAGGCAGUCAUUGCUGGCCGCGUCGUGAAGGUACAGAUCAAAGACAAAGCCAAGCUGGAGAGCAGCCACCUCGAUGCCUCCUGUGCCAGAUCCCCAACUCUCACAGGGAACAUUCUGCAAGAGGGGAUUUCCAUCGUCCCUCAUUCCUGCACACCGGGAAAGGUGGCCUUGGAUGAGGACUUGGAGCGGGUCCUGUUCGUGGUCAACUUGGGGACCGUCACCCCCAUGGAGAAUGUCACCGUCUUCAUCAGCACCUCAUCGGAGCUCCAGACGCUGCCCAGCGGGGCGGUGAGGGUCUUCCUGCCUGCCAUCUGCACCCCAACGGUGCCUCGGCUCUGCACCAACAGCGCUGGCCACUCCAACCUGCAGGCCCAGGGCAAAGACUCGCACUGCUAUGGCACCCAGGCCCUGGACUCCUGGAACAAGCUGUGCCUGGCGACUCUGCUAGACACCAAGGUAUCCAACCCCAUGGAGUAUGACUUCAACUUCCAGCUGGAGAUCCGUGGACCUUGUCUUCUUGCAGGGGUGGAGAGUCCUACACAUGAAAUCCGAGCAGACGCUGCCCCAUCUGCACCCUCAGCCAAAAGCAUCAUCAUCACCUUGGCCAACAAACACACCUUCGACCGGCCUGUGGAGAUCCUCAUCCACCCCAGUGAGCCUCACAUGCCACAUGUCCUGAUGGAGAAAGGGGACAUGACCCUGGCAGAGUUUGACCAGUACUUGAAGAGGAGAACAGAUUUCAUUAAAGGGACAAAGAAGGACAGCAGUGUGGAACGGAAGACAGAAAUCAUCCGGAAACGCCUCCACAAAGACAUUCCCCAUCAUUCGGUCAUCAUGCUCAACUUCUGCCCUGACCUCCAGUCUGUGCAGCCAAACCUGAGAAAGACCCAUGGAGAGUUCAUCUUCCUCAUUGACAGGAGCAGCAGUAUGAGUGGGACCAGCAUCCACCAUGUCAAGGAUGCCAUGCUGGUGGCCCUUAAGAGCCUCAUGCCAACUUGUCUCUUCAAUGUCAUUGGAUUUGGAUCCACAUUUAAAACGCUCUUCCCUUCCAGCCAGACCUACAAUGAGGAGAGCUUGGCCAUGGCCUGUGACAACAUCCAGAGAAUCCGGGCUGACAUGGGUGGCACCAACAUCUUUUCCCCUCUCAAGUGGAUUGUCCGGCAGCCAGUGCACCAGGGCCACCCACGGCUCCUCUUCCUGAUCACUGCUGGUGCCAUCAGCAACACCGGGAAGGUGCUAGAGCUGCUGCGGAACCAUGCCUUCUCCACCAGGUGCUACAGCUUUGGAAUUGGACCCAGUGUCUGCCAUCGACUGGUAAAAGGGCUGGCAUCUGUGUCCAAGGGCAGCGCUGAGUUCCUCGUGGAGGGGGAGCGGCUACAACCAAAGAUGGUCAAGUCCUUGAAGAAGGCCAUGGCCCCAGUCCUGAGUGAUGUGACUGUGGAGUGGGUCUUCCCUGAGACCACUGAAGUCCUGAUCUCACCUGUCAGCACCAACACCCUCUUCCCUGGAGAACGGUUGGUGGGGUAUGGCAUUGUGUGUGAUGCCUCCUUGUACGUCUCCAACUCCAGAUCUGACAAGAGGCAAAGGUACAGCAUGCAACACUCUCAGGAGUCUGGCAGCUCCGUCUUCUACCACUCUCAGGAUGAGGGAGUUGGUCCAGACAGUGGAGACGGUAUCAAGAGCAUGGGGGCACCUUUCAGCCUGGGGCAGGCCAAGGAUACCUGGACAUUUGGCGGAGACUCCAGUACCAAUCACGGUCUAGACCUCUCCCAGCAACGGAGGGCAUACAGCACCAACCAGAUCACCCACCACAAGCCAUGCCCAAAGGCCACCACCGCCAGUGAGCCCACAGUAUCUUCCAGGAGACACCCACUGAGAAAAGCCAAGCUGCAAGACCUCACCAAUCAGAUCAGCCUGGAUGGACAGCAGUGGCAGAUUGAUUUACAGCCCUUGCUGAACAGUGGCCAGGACCUGAGCCAGACCUCCAAACUGCAUGGCCCAGGGGCCCGAAGGCCCUCUCUGCUGCCUCAAGGCUGCCAGCCCUUCCUGUCCUUGGGCCAGGAGACCCAGGCCUGGAGCUCCAUGAGGGAGCUGGAUCCUGGAUCCAGCCUGAAAUCUACCCUGGACAGCCACAGCCCUGGAGAUCUGGAACCGUCCGCCUUCGAGACCGAGACAUCUUCGGACUGGGAGCCCAUGGCUGAGUCCGAGGAACCGGGCAGUCCCGCCAGGCCCACCACCACCCCAGGCCCGGUGCUGGGCAAGGCUCUGGUCAAAGGCCUACGCGACGGCCAAUGCGUGCAGUGGGAGGUGAACUUCCAGUUGGGGCCUCCCGGCCCGGAGCCGGACAACGCACGGGACGCCGACCUGUGGAACGAGACCUUCCACCACCUCGCGGCCCGCGCCGUCAUCCGCGACUUCGAGCAGCUGGCGGAGCGCGAGGACGAGAUCGAGCAAGGGUCCAGUCGCCGCUACCAGGUGAACGCUGUGCACACCAGCAAGGCCUGCAAUGUCAUCAGCAAAUACACAGCCUUCGUGCCCGUGGACGUGAGCAAGAGCCAGUAUCUGCCCAUGGUGGUGGAGUACCCCAGCUCAGGUGUCACACAUCGGAUGGUCAGCUCCCGGCCUCUGACCCGACAGUGCAGGGCCACCUCUGCUGGCUUUGGUUGGCCCCAGACCAUGCCUGGAGAAGACUCAGCCACAGGAGAUGACACAUUUCAGACCCUAAUCACGGAGGAGAGACUGACCUCACCCUUCAGCCAAGUCCUGUCCCCCAGCCAUGAGAAGCACACAGUUGCAGAAGGUCCCCUGCACAGCCUGCCCACCAACACCCUUUCCUCCAUGAAGGCCUCAGAGACUCUCUUUGGAUCCAAGCUGAAUUUCAACAAGUCCAGGCUGCUGACUCGAGCAGCCAAGGGCUUCCUGGGCAAGCCACUGGUCAAGGCCACAGAGUCCACCUCGGGGAGCCAGAGCUUUGACUAUGUCCCUCUGGUGUCUCUGCAGCUGGCCUCCGGUGCUUUCCUGCUCAACCAAGCCUUCUGUGAGGCCAUCCACAUCCCCAUGGAGAAGCUCAAGCGGACCUCGCCCUUCUCUUGCCACCGAGUGUCCCUCUCUCCCCGACAACUGUCCACCAGCCCCUCACCUCAGCAGCUGUCCUGCGACAGCAUCUUCCUGGAGCCUCUGGCUGAGGGCAGGCCAGGCUCAGAGCCCAGGGCACUGGUGGAGCACACGGGAAAGCUGUGGGCCACCAUAGUGGGGCUGGCUUGGCUGGAGCACAGCUCAGCCUCCUACUUCACUGAGUGGGAACUAGUGGCCGCCAAGGCCAACUCAUGGCUGGAGCAGCAGGAGGUGCCCGAGGGCCACACACAGAGCACGCUGAAGGCUGCUGCUCGCCAGCUAUUUGUGCUCCUGCGGCACUGGGAUGAGAACCUGGAGUUCAAUAUGCUCUGCUAUAACCCAAAUUAUGUGUAGAGGGGAGGGGGUUGGUCAGGAAGAGGGAUGGGCCAUUUUGGCCUGGUGGAGGAACCUUUUUGAAGCUGUAGCCAAUAUACUGAUUGCUAGAAAGAGCCCUGGACUGGCAGUUGGGAGGCCUGAGUUCUAUCCCAACUUUGCUACCACCUAGCUGUGCAACUUUAGGCCCUGUCCCUGUCUGGGCCUCAGUAUCCUCAUCUAUAAAAUACUAGGGUGAGAUGAGGCAGUAAACUCGAUCUUUUAAUGGUUCAAAUGUUCCUUUCUGCCCAGACUCUCAGGCAAUCCUGGGCUUUAAUGCUACUAGGGGAUAGUGAGACAAAAAUACAACUAAGCCUGAGUUUUCUCUGGUGGAAGACCAUGAGGGCACAGAGUAGAAACAGCAGUCCCCCUCCUAACCCCAACAAAAGGACAGAUAAGGCCAGGGAAUUGGCUCAGUGGUUUCGCCGCCUGCUGCGCAACCCCAAGGACCCGAGUUCGAUCCCCAGUACCAAAAAAAAAGGGCAGAUGAGAGAACCCAGUGACUAAAGUAACCAGACCUAUAAGCCUUCAUCCAGGCACUCUGUUACACUGGGGCUAGGCUCCUGUCUUCAAGGUGACAGUCUAGGACCCCCACUUCCCACUUCCAAGCCAACUGGAGAACCAUCCUUCCCAACACUUUCCACAGUUUCUCGAGGGCCUUUUCCUGGGCAAGGAAAUUUUUAGUUUCAGUUUACAGAUUUCUGGGGCUUUCUGUCUAAGGAGAGCUGGUGGGUAGUGCCCAGGGAGAUAGAGACCUCGCAAGCCAAAGUAUUAGAUUGAAGCUUUGGUCUGUGCAGAAACAAUCCAAACAGACAUACAUGCUCACAGAAGUUAGGGAAGAAAGCAGAUGAUAUCUGAAAUAACCUACAUACUUUCAGGAGGUGGAUAAAGUGGAUUCCAUGCACUUGCAUUAAGAGGCUAGAGAGGCGCUUCUAUGGGCACUGCAUUCUGGGAUAGUGGGGUCCUUCUCUAACCAGACUACAUUGUGGGAGAGAGAGAAUACCUUUGCAACAAAAACCAUGCCUGGCCUCCAUGCAUUUGGGGAUGGUAGCUUCAGCUAGAUGGCAUGAUUGGUUUGGUGAAAAGAAAGGAUGGUGAAGCAUCAAAGCAGGAUCCCCGGGGGCUCCCCCACCCCAGGCCCACCACAUGACACUCAUAGACAGGUGUGCACAGCCUCUGAUUCCCUUAUGACUAGGGUCAAACUGCCCAAUUGCUAUUGCCCCCACAGACUCCCCAGAGAUGGGGCUGGGCCCCCAGGCUGAACUGAUACACCCCAAAGUCCUCUUUCCAAGGCCUUAGCCUCUCCUCAUCAAAUUCCUUUCCCAGGAAUGGUCCCAGGCCCUUGGCAUGAAGCCCCACAGACCUCCCUUUUGCGGGGUAGGUGUGGCUCUGGCACAAGUUCCAGCCUCAUAAAGAUUCAAAGAAUGUCCAGGCUACAGGAGGGGCCAGAGGAAGGGAGGGGCUCCAGCAGACUGCAGCAGGUGUGACUGUGACAGGAUGUGGUGGCCUGGCCCUACCCCAUCCUUCCCUCCCACCAAGAUGCAGCAUCUCCCAACAGGGAACUUGCUUCCCCUGCAGCCUUUGGUAAUGGCUGCUUCACUGCCUGGCUCUGCUCCUUCUGGGAGGAACCCAGCCAGGCAGUCCCUGACCCUAUGCCAUUGUGACUCCAGUGGGACAGAAAGCCAGGAUGGGGUGUAGGCUCAACAUCAGCGCCACCAAGGAAGACAAGAGCUUUAGGUUGUCUUACUCGAGGCCCCAAAGAGGUGUGAGGAAAGCAGUGUCAUCUCCCUGUGCUCCUCCCCUGCCCCAUAAAAACCGUACUCCCAUAAAAACCAUUCUUCUUUAGCUAUGCAGCCUGUAACCCUAGCUUCAGGGCAAGGAUGGAGGGGGCGACAGUCACUUCCUGGUCCACCACUAAUGGAAAAAUUGCCAGGCUUCAAGUCAGAGCACCUGGGCUUGAUUAGCUUGGGCAGUGAGUGGCUUCCCCUCUCUGAGUGUUCUGGAGCUGGGGGUCUGCCCACUGCUCUGAUAUUCCCAGAUGAUCGCCUCUAAGUUUUUCCCUCUCAGUGAACAUGGGUUUGCUCCAUUUCUCCAUGUGACCUUGAACAAGUCAUGUAUGCACCUGGGGCUUCUUUUCCUCCUCUAACAUGAAUAGGUUGUACCAGGCUGUCCAGCCCCCAGCCCCAUUUCCCCAUGAGCCUGAUUCUCACUCUUCAGGGCAUGGUGAGGACAAUAACCAGGGUCUGAGGCAGCCCAGCCCCUGCCCAGUGUGACCGGUAUGUAAGAUGCCUGGACAGAGUGAGCCAGAAACCUGGUGAGGUGGUGAACACACCACCCCCUUCUCCUGCAAGUUCCUUGGGCAGCACCCCUGCAGCAGCAGCCAGGGCUCAGCGAUGUGUCUGGUAUAUGAUCUGCACCACCCCUGGCUGCCCUGCCCAGCACCCAAGUGCAGGGGAACAAAUCUUUUUGAUUUCAAGUAACCCAAGGGCUGCAGAGGGACAUCUAGACAUGAGACAUUUUUAAAAUAACUCCGGUGGUAUAAAGAUGAUUCGCAGCCUCAGGAAUUUGCUGCCAGGAUUGCCAAGCAGAGGAUUGGAGAGACUCACCGGAAGGAAAGGAUAAGAGCCUUGGGUAACGAACACCUGCAUAGAGGCCAGAGGGGUUGCAAAGGUCCUCUGGUGGUAAAACACAGCCAAUGCAACCUGGGAGAAUUUGGAUUCAUCUGGUUUAAUUUGUUAAACUAGCCCUUGCCUUCUGGGUCAUACAAAGGCAUACUGAUACCCCACACUGUCUGAAGAAAUGCUAAUGGCUCCCUUCAAUGAGGAAAAACUGAGCCAAGAAUUGGGGGCCUAAGGGUCAGUUGCAAUCCCACCCCCAGCAUGCUGUGUGACUUCUGGCAAAUCGAAUCCUUCCUCUGAGGCCCUGUCUCACCUUUUGUAGAACAAUGGGAUUAUACUUGAUCCCCAUUUCCAGCCCUGUUGCUCAGGUGAGAUGUGAAUAAGCCACCCACCAGAAACUGUUCUGUGGGCGAAUAUGCGGGGAAGCACCAGGAGAACAGACUUCUUUCAGGUUAGGAUGGUAUAUGUGGAUCCAGUGAGGUGACCCCCACGCAGCUCUUCCAGGUUGCUCAGUUGGUUAAUGCUGGUCUAGAUCUCCCUGGGGAUUCUUUGUGCACUGACAUCCGAAAACCUUUAUGGAGCAUAUGCCCGGUUAUGGGGGUACUGCUGCGAACACACCAGAUGCUCUCUCUCCCCAUGUAGAGUUUGGCAAGAAGCAUGUGAAGAGCCUCUUCUGUGAAGAAUCUUCCCACUCCCUGGGGUUCCAGCACCUUCUUGCCUGGUGGCCAACUAUGUAAAUGUUGUGGAGGGCCUGGAUGUCAGCUGCCUGAUACCCACGAUCCUUUGUGAAUCCUGCCCUCAGGCUGUGUCUGUUCUCAAACUGAACAGCUUCUUUGGCUUCUUCGUAUACGGUGGCUGCUGUUCUCCUAUAAGCUUUGAGCUCAUAAAAACUGUCAACGUGGCAAAGUUACACAUGUGUCUACUCUUUUGUUCUCAGAGCCCAUUAAUACCUGGCUUUCAGCAAUUCAGGAGUCUGUUUUCCUUGCUUAGUGAGUCACAUUUGUCUUGAUUUGGGUUCCUCCUAAAGUGGCCAACUAUCCCAGUUGCCUGAAACUGGGAGAGGUUGCCAGAAUGUAAGACUUUUUCAGUUUUAAAAUUGGGACAGUCCUGGUCAAACUGGUACAAGUUGGUCACAACAGUAUCCCAGUAGAGCCUGAGACAAGGAUUCAGUGCAAUGUACUUGGGAGAUCCCAGGAAAUAUCUUUAGAGAAUUUUGGGAGUGAAAUAGAGACGUGAAGGACAGUAAUAAAGGAAAUAUUACUUAGCAGGUUACCUCUAGGGCAUGGACAUGCAUCCUUCAAACAAACUGGGAGCCAGAGUAGACCUACCCAUUCUGUGGUACUUCUGGUCUACCUCAGGUGCAUCUGCUGAACAGGUUCCUGUAGCCUGAGAAAGCCACUGGGCAAACAAAUGGAGGUCCUGGUGCUAGCAAAAGGAGAACAUGACACAAUGUCUAACAUGAUUCCCCUCAACCCCUGUACCUCCUCUGCACAAAUAACAGAGAUAAGCAUUUGACCUCUUUAUGGAUUGGAAGUUUCAGACACACACUAUAUUAU